GGGCCCGUGGCGGAACUGGUAGACGCGGCGGACUUAAAAUCCGCUCCCCGGAAACGGGGGUGAGGGUUCGAUUCCCUCCGGGCCCA
rnacentral:tRNA from 1 species